UUAUCCAAAAAAUCGGUUACACGGUCGCAUGUGCGGACUGCUUUCCGGACAUAAAAACAAAAAAGGAGAAGACAAAAUGUCUUUGACCCAAGAAUCUCUUUUGUCUUUUUUGCUGGAGCGCGAAGGCAAAGUGAGGAACUCGGAGCUGGUGAACCACUUCAGGAGACAAAUCCACGGCGGCGAUCCGGCGGAGAAGCAGCACAAUAGGGAGCUCUUCAAGAAGUUGGUGAACAGCGUCGCGGUGGUGAAACAGAUCGACGGGGUAAAGUUCGUGGUCGCGAAGAAGAGAUACCAGGAUUUUGUGAAGGAAGCGGCGCGGGAUGGCGCGCAGGGAACGCGGAUGGACGACAGUCCCCCGACCGGUUCCCCGGUCCCUCGACCCGGACCGGAUUCCACCCCCGUCAAAGUCACGAAUAUCCCCGCAGUUCAGACGAUCAGAGCGAGGACAUCCGGAGCCGUGUUCGCUGUGGUAGCGGUCAAAUUCCCCGCGCGGGACGCUGCGCCAGGUCCGCAGAUCGGGUCACGUCCCAGAGGGCGUCCGGAUCUCUGGACAGACGAACCAAUCGCGUCGGUGACCGACGUUUCAACACCAUCAGUGCAGACUCGCGACCCCGACCCCCCAGCGUGCAAUAAGGGGUCCCUGAGUGACCCUCGGUGUUGGAAAAACCCAAUGACAGACACGCAAACCCCAGGUUUCCCCCUGGUGAGGCCCCCAAACAGGAGAGAGGAGGCAAAGGACUCGGAGUCUGUGCCUCUGGAGCCAUUAGCUCACGAGUGGUUGGUAAAGUGUGCUGCCGGACUGUGGGGGCAGAUGUAUGGUCUGCUGCUGCAGGACACUCGGUUGGCACAGAAGAAAGACUUCAUGUCGGGCUUCACGGCGCUGCACUGGGCAGCAAAGAACGGCAACAGCGAGAUGAUCCACAGGCUGGUGGACACCCCGAGGAGAAGAGGCACUUAUGUCGACAUCAAUAGCAAAGCACACGGAGGAUACACACCGUUGCACAUCGCGGCCAUGCAUGGGCACGGCGAGGUCGCGGCGCUGCUGGUGCAACGUUAUGGGGCAAAUGUGAAUGAAAGAGAUCAUGACGGCAAGAAGGCCUCCCAUUACCUCGGCGACGCUGUGUCAGCGGAGGUCAGAGCACUCAUGGGAGGACUUCAGCCGAGCGAGUACAGGGAGAAGACGGAAUACGAUGAGCACACGAAGGGCUUCAACACAAUUAGUAAACUGUUCCAGCCCCACAAGAAACAAAAAACAACAACAAAAUGUGCUCAUGACGGGUGAGAAUUACGUCAACGACAAAAGAAGCUUUGAUGUGGACAAUAUUAAAAUGUGGGCAGACAAAACUGUCUUAGUUUGUGUAUUUCAAUAAUAUUAGAAAAAGGCAAACCAUUGUUUAUCUUUGCACCUCUCUUCUACUGCUUCUUGUGCUAUUGAUGAAUGUUGUUUGAAAUCUAAUUUCUUCUCUUUCGUUAGUUGUUUUAUGCAUUAACAAUUAAUGUUAUUUUGAACUAAUUUAAUUUAUUUUUCUGAGCAAUAACAGUGUGAUAUUCACACAUAUCUUACCAGAUGUGUAAUAAAUCUUAGACUUUACCUUUUGAAACUGAAGUGUGAUAAAAUAGGAAAACAGACCCCCCAUGCGCACAGCAUAUGAUGCAAGUUCUUGGCAAAGAUACAAAGUAAAUAUCGGAUACUUUUGUAGAAAGAAAAAGUGGUAAUAUUUUGAAAAAGCAACAGUACCUCUAAACUUAAGUAAAAGCAAAGACCUUUGGCGACCAGU